rnacentral:rRNA from 1 species
CGGGUGAGUAAUACAUCGGAACGUGUCCAGUAGCGGGGGAUAACCUCUCGAAAGAGAGGCUAAUACCGCAUACGACCUACGGGUGAAAGAGGGGGAUCGCAAGACCUCUCACUAUUGGAGCGGCCGAUGUCGGAUUAGCUAGUUGGCGGGGUAACGGCCCACCAAGGCUACGAUCCGUAGCUGGUCUGAGAGGACGGCCAGCCACACUGGAACUGAGACACGGUCCAG